ACGUGGGCUCUUCCGAUCUGUAAUCUCAGCAAAAGCUCGUCUCAACUGCUGAGUAAAUUUUUUUUUCCCUGCUUUAAAUCAUGAAGAUAGCUAAGAUCCACUUGUAUAUGUUUUGUACCAGGC